UAUGACUACUGGCAGGAUCAACCAGGUAGCACGUCCUCAACACAACCAUGAUCUCACCCCUCUGCAACCAUACAUGUCAUAUGGCAGGAGGGGAGAGAACCAAAGUCGNACAGAGGCAAANGGCACUAUCGCUUGGAUAAAUCAACUCGAGCAUGGUGCCAUAACACCAAGACCCAAUUUCGAAGAGCCACAUUUGCGACAAUAUAUUGAGACCCUCAUCCCACCACCCAACAAAACGAGAAUAUCAUGCAACAUCGCCCGAAGCAAAGGGUGGAAGGGUCUCAUUCUCAKAGGGCGGCCUCCAUGCCUUGGAGGCAGGCAUAGAGGCUUAUCCACAAGGCAUCCACAAAAAUUAAUACCACCCACGUAAGGAUUCCCAAUGCAAGCAACUAUUAUAGAUCAAAAAUCGAUCUCCAAAAUAACAUCAGGAGCGACGAAGUGAAAAGACUGCCAUAAUGACAGUUGGCCACACAAAAGAAGCCACCGAUCAAUACUAGCANGGUCCGCAACAACCUCA
rnacentral:misc_RNA from 1 species